rnacentral:miRNA from 1 species
UAAUUGGUUCCAUGUUA